AAGACCUCAAAUCAGGUGGAAUUACCUGCUGAACUUAAGCAUAUCAAUAAGCAGAGGAAAAGAAACUAACAAGGAUUCCCCUAGUAAUGGCGAAU
rnacentral:rRNA from 1 species